UGCGUAGGCGGCCUGUUAAGUAGGGUGUGAAAUGCCAGAGCUCAACUUUGGCAUUGCGCUCUAGACUGGCUGGCUUGAGUGAGAUAGGGGUGUGCGGAACUUCCAGUGGAGCGGUGAAAUGUGUUGAUAUUGGAAGGAACGCCGGUGGCGAAAGCGGCACACUGGGUCUUAACUGACGCUGAUGCACCGAAAAGGCCCAGGGGAGCGAACG
rnacentral:rRNA from 1 species